rnacentral:rRNA from 1 species
UACGUAGGGGGCAAGCGUUGUCCGGAUUUAUUGGGCGUAAAGCGCGUGUAGGCGGCCAGAUAGGUCUGCUGUGAAAACUCGAGGCUCAACCUCGAGACGUCGGUUGAAACCGUACGGCUAGAGUCCGGAAGAGGAGAGUGGAAUUCCCGGUGUAGCGGUGAAAUGCGCAGAUAUCGGGAAGAACACCCGUGGCGAAGGCGGCUCUCUGGGACGGUACUGACGCUGAGACGCGAAAGCGUGGGGAGCGAACAGG